AAAAGCGUCAAAGCUUCACCUUAAGAAUACCUUAAAUCUCAUUACAUUAUCAAAAUCCAUCAUUACUACUAAGCUAUUCUAUAUCUUUAUAGAAAAAUUUAUGUUAGGACUAGUAACAAAGAAUUUUUCUCUUAUAUGUAAGCUUAAAUCAACCCGAAUACCUCCUUGAUAAUUAUUCAACUUUGAUCCCAGAGUAACACCACUUUACUUACAAAAACCCUACUCAAUUUAUUGUUAACCAAACACUUGAACAUAAAAGAAAGAUAAAAGAAUUAAGAAGGAACUCGGCAAACACAAGUCCCGCCUGUUUACCAAAAACAUCGCCUUUUGAAUAAUAUAAAAGGUAACGCCUGCCCAGUGACACUAUGUUUAACGGCCGCGGUAUUCUGACCGUGCGAAGGUAGCGUAAUCAUUUGUCUUUUAAAUGGAGACUUGUAUGAAAGGCAUCACGAGGACUUAACUGUCUCCUUAAUUUAAUCAGUGAAACUGAUCUCCCCGUAAAAAAGCGGAGAUAAAACCAUAAGACGAGAAGACCCUAUGGAGCUUAAAACAAUAAACUACUUGUAUAAUCUGCUAUUUAAUACCACUAAAAUACAAAUCUAGCCUAAGUUUUCUGUUGGGGCGACUGUGGAGAAAAACUUAUCCUCCAUGAAGAAUAAACUUUGAGCUACCACUCUUAGUAUUAGCAAGCCUAACUUAAAUUGAUCCAAUCUUUGAUCAACGGACCAAGUUACCCUAGGGAUAACAGCGCAAUCUAUUUCAAGAGUCCCUAUCGACAAAUAGGUUUACGACCUCGAUGUUGGAUUAGGACAUCCUAGUGGUGUAGCCGCUACUAACGGUUCGUUUGUU
rnacentral:rRNA from 1 species